GCUCCAAUAGCGUAUAUUAAAGUUGUUGCAGUUAAAAAGCUCGUAGUUGGAUUUCUGGUUAAAGGUUAGAGCGCACCUGUGUGAGGCUCGAGUCUUUUUGCCAUCCUUCUGUUAACCUUUCAUGACAUUCAUUUGUCGGUUUGGGGCUCAGAUAUUUUACCUUGAGAAAAUUAGAGUGUUUCAGGCAGGCUUGUGCCGGA
rnacentral:rRNA from 1 species